GUUAAAAGGGUUGUGUUACACAUGGUACCGCAGUGACCUCGUCAAACAAUGCAGCGCUUUGUGUAGUCUUCGUCAAUGAUGGAUACUACCUUCAUUUUAAAAAGAACUCAGCUCGCCCAUGAUUCCUCACAACCACAUCUCACCAACAAACCCUCAAAAUGCAUUCAGCCGUCCAGUUCAGAUGCUAUUCAUCAGAAACUAUGAAUAUUUCUGCUGGUGCUAACAACUGUUCUGGUCUUGACAUUAUUAUGGGAAGGGGAAGAAAAGAGGAGUACAAAAUAUUGAAGAUGUUUUCUGUAGAAAACGCCGAUGAUCCAGGCUUGAAAACGGAUCAUUAACAAGGGAAGAAAGAAUUACAUGAUUAAUAGUUGCAUCAAGCAGCUUUAUGGGAGCCGAAUCAAGUUCAUAUAUCAGAGAUGACUUGAAGCUGCAUUGAUGAGAGUAUUGACUUUGCAAAUCAUUAUCUAGGAUGACAUGAUACAUGCAGCACAGUAAAGACAACGUUAAUUUGGUUUGGACGAGUGGGUGAUUUUCGAAAAAGAAAACAGGAUGCUCGGACAGACAAAACAUGCAUGCUUUUCUGUCAGAUUAUAUGCAAAUCUGAACGACACCCUGUAAGUUGAUUUAAUUUGCUGCAGAAUUAGAGAAACGGCAAAGGAAUACCAUGCUGCUGCUGCUGCUGCUACUUUUAAAAAAAGUAUUGGAGCUUUGACCACCUUGUUUAACAAUUAGGCUUCGCAUCGCACCUUGUCGAUCACGUCCUCAUGGGCCUCGCAUACGAUGUUCAUCAUGUCUACACACAUUAUUGAAUAUUACUCGGUGCCAACUACGCACGCACCAUCAGCGCCCCGUUUAAGGCCGAGCGAUAAAGAAUGAACACAAAAGGCAGUGGCACAUAUAUCGCACGAUUGUUUUUGUCAUGGUUAUGACACGAUACUUUCAUGAUGCAAGCAUGUCGUGCGCCCGAUUUCUUUCUAUAUCGCGCGUUUUCGCACAAUUUUCCCCUGAAAUAUUGUCUCGUCAUGCUUUCAUGACCUUAUUAUAAAUUAAUAAACGGACCUUCUCGAUCUCUUGGACGGAGACGUAAGAAGUAUUUUCUCUCCUAUUAAUUUGUUUGCGUUGUUGUAUCCUAUUUUGUAGUUGAUUUCUGUUUGCUUUCAAUUUUCUACAGGUAGCAGCUAAUGGAUCAGCUCAAUUUGUGUUGGACAGCAGGGGCUGGUGAACUGUUAGAUAUGACGCCUCGGCUUGAUAGAAGAACUAGUUAGAGUCAACCUGUAUUCGCGUCAGACUACAUAAUCAUAUCUGAAUAUCUGUUUAUGUGACAGUGGAGUAUGUUCUGUUUCUUGUUCUCUAUAAGAUUACUGAUGCUCUUACUCGAUCUCUGUUACAAUGGCGCUUUUAUCUUUAUGGGAAACCUUUUGAUUUGUUACCUUCUCAUGCUUAGCUUUUUAUGUUCUUUUCCCUAUGUUAUCCUUAUCUGCUCUUGCUUUGAGGUGCCCUUACAUGUUCAUUCUCUCUCGCCAUGGGUUUCUCCAUUGUUCCUAAUGUAUUCCUUUGCUAGGUUAUAAAAAAUAAAAUAAAAAGGGGGUCUUUUUGAAGGGUUUUAUUCUUCUAAACUUUAAUCGCAGCUGGAAUAAACACAUCUACACUCGAUGAAACCGCCGCCGGCUAUGGAGUACUGAACCCAUUUCCAAUCGGGCAGUGCCUAUCACCUCUACCUGGAGAGUCUCCUACUGCCCAUACUAAGCUGAAAAGAAAAGGUCCUAAAACUGCCAAGGAUCUUGAAAAGAAAAGAGCGACCGACAGGGCAUAUCGGCGACGAUGCAGGGAAAAUAAAAAGAAAAAUGAGCAAGAAUUGUUUGUGCUCACUGAAGAAAAUAAGAAAUUAAAUAGAGAGAAUGACUCCUUCAAAAGGGAAGAAGUUAAGCUGCAAGAGAUGGUGCAAUCUCAGAAAGACGAAAUGACAGUACUGCUACAGAAUGAACUUCGCCAACUGAAGGCCCAGCUUCAGGGGCAAAAUGCAGUCGUGGAUGUGCUUUCGAAGCAAGUAGCUAGUAUCGAAGAUAAUAUGGAUCCUCAGCGCGAAAAUAAACGGCUGAAAUUAGAAAUGGAUUUGCUGAUUAAGAAGAUUAACAAUGAUGACUAUUUAAACCUCCUUCAACUUCGAGAAAAAAACAUGAAACUAGAACAAGAGAAGAAUGUUCUCCAAUUGAUUAUUGAUGCCUUAUGUGCAAAGAUAAACAAGGAUAGUGACCUCGAACCAAAGCAAGCAUCCUAAUUAAGGUACUGAGCUACAAAGUAAAUGGAUAGAGGAGGUGUGCUGACAAGAGAAUUAAGAGGCUACAGGAAUUUAAAUACCCAAGGAUGUGCCCUAAUGUAUUCUUAUAAUUGCAAGACCUAUUUUACGGACGUACGUCGUCAUCAUGUAUGAAGGGUGUUCUUAGAUUUUAGCAGCGGUGUGUUUUUGGUUCUCUUACCAGAGUAUCAAGAAGUAAAUAAAUAAAUUGGAACUUGGAGGUUUUGAUUUGCCUUUUAAAUUGGUAAUGUCAUUUGUACUUAGUGUAUCUAAAUCUCACUGGUUUAGGCCAUCUUAUAAGCCCACUACUAUCGUUCAUGUGCACCGGUCUCCCCCAUUUGAUGGAUGGAUAAAAGUGACAGUGAUGGAACCAGCAAGAAUGAUCCGUAUAGGGCAUGGAAAAUUUCCUUGGGGUAUUUCAUGGCAGGAUUUGCAGCUGGAUUGGUUAUGGAAUUUGGGAAUCAGAUGUUUGCAUCUUGAAGUAGCUUCCCAAGUGGUUAAACAUGUUUUGGCAGAUGAUCAAGGACAGGGCAGGCCUUUAUGCUAUUUUUCCAAGAUAGGUAUAAAUCUUCCACGCAGAGACUGGAGGGCAGAAAUCUCUCCAGUGUAAGGGGGGUCUAGCUCAUGUGCUGAUAGACUUGUGAAUCUUGAUGUAAAUCUUGAUAUAUAUAUAUAAGACUUAGCUUUUUGGUGGAGUCUCUCGUGAAGGACCAAUCUGGCUUACACUUUGUAAGGAAUUUUAAUUAGAAGAACUGAUGCUCUCAAGCCUUACAGUGCAUCUGUAACUAUUUUUAAUGUUGCUCUUGAAAUAUUUUUUAUAAUAGAUUGAGAAAGUCGGGGGAUUCAGAGAAAUAAA